UCUAGCCUCCGGCAACGGCUGGAUCAUUGCUCCGUCAAGGUGCUUUGCUUCUUCUUCUUCUUCAAAAUUCCUUGAAGGAAAAUCGGAGCUUUUUCUUUCUUUACUGUUUUUAAUGAUGAGAAUGUCACCCUUCUCCUUAUGAUUCCAUUCACUCCGUAGGUCAAAAUCUUCAAUGAAAUGCUGUGAAGAUUAUAUUGCCAUGUUUGAUAACAGAAAAUUAAAGUUGUUGAUCGUAGCUAGCUUUUCACUGUCCAUUACUGUCAAAAUCUUCAUAGAUCUACAGUAGUUGAUCUCACAUAAGUAGAUGUUCUUUUGGUAUUGGGAGCAUUCUCUGUCUGUUCUUAAUGCAAGUUCCUAAAUGACUUUUUUUCUUCAUAGAUCUAUAGAUUACCCUCCUGUUAAUCCGCUUACUGUUCUUGGAAAAUCAAGUUUGUCAUAGAUAAAUAAAUGAUUACUUGGAAAGAGCAUUUUAGCAAGUAGUCUUCAAAGUCUUAUUUUAUUUUAUUUUAUUAUUUUAAAUUUUAUGUUAUUGCAAUAGUUGUCUUGCAAUUUUUACUUCCGUGGCCUUCCUUCUAUUGUUAGUGAUUUCAUGUAUUCUAUGUGUGGUUAUUCUAUGUAUUCCUCAAAUAUCUAUUGCUUUUCAAUUCAGUAAGAGGCAAAUUCUACAUGGGCUUUUAUUGAUUGAUUCAGUUAUGUUCCAUAAAACACUACAAGCAACAAUGCCUGGUGUCAUUGGUUUGUAACUUCAUUAUUGCAUCAAGCUUCAAAUAAUCAAAUUUAAUGGUAGAAGAAUGUCUUGCCUUCAUUUUUCUAAAAAACAAUUAGAAAUUUUAUAAUUCUGAGACUUGAUUAUUGGUAACAAUGUGGACUUUUCCUAGUAGCUGUUGGUGGGAACCUUUGAGAAGAGUUUUUUUUUUUUUAAUUGUGCAAUCUUCAAGGGAAGACAGAUUUAAAAUUUGUCUAGUUCCUGCUUCAGAGUUUCUUCCAACAGGUUUAUCCAUCCAACAUUAGAAUAAGUCACAUUACUUUGCACUCAUUCUAAAGAAAGCACACAUUAGGACACAUUGUACAUGUUGAUUCGUCUGUUUUCUUUCUAUAAUACUGUCAGAUUGUUGGCCCACACAUUAUUUAGGCCAGGCUUCCAAUAGUUUCAUUCAGACAAGGCCACAAUGAUGAGUUCUGAUAAUUAGAUGGUCUGUUGGUGGAGCAUUAGCAUUGAGGGGCUGCAGGAGGCAUAUAUAUAUUGUUCCUAUGCAUCUUUUGGUACUGCUGAUCAUCUGGAGAGUUAAUGCGGUUGUUCCUGAUGCAACCUCUAGGAACUCAAACUUAUAAGGAGUGCUGCAAGAAUAGCAAAGGCACCUAAGACCAGGAUUCUGUUCAAAGUACAGCUGGAACAACUAUAGCGAAAAAUGGUGAGAUACGUGAGCAGAGGUGCCAUGCUGGGUCCACCAGCAUGACCUUUAGAUCUCAUCCAUUCGUUUACAAGUUGAAUAAGAGCUUUACAAUCUGGAGGUGCAUAUUUCAUCAGUAUCAGUGUUGCCAUCCUCUGGGAGUGCAGAAUCUACUCAAAUUGCAUUGAGAGGGCUCAGAGAUUUGUACAACAAUAUCAAGAAUCUUCUACGCUUCCCAAGAAGCAGCCAAUAAAGUUGUUCCCAACCUCAGCAAAAGAAAUGGGCAGAAGAACUCGAUGUGUCUUUCAAGUUAACGGAUCUGUGUAAUGUUGUGAAAGAUAUAACCUGUUGCAGCCAGAGAACAUAUUCUAGAUCUUCAGUUCAUUUGCCAUAUAUCUACAGUGAAAGAAAUUGUUGUGCAGAAAUAUUGAAGACUUAACUGAAUUCUUGUAUAUCUUGAAGCUCCAAAGGAGACUGAGAGAUGUGUUUAAUUAGCUUAAGAAUUAAAUCAAAGAAGCUUUGACAUAGUUAAUAUAUUAAGAAGAUUCAAGAGUGUUGGAAUAAUAAAUUCAGUCAUAAGCCA